GCAGGCUGGCCACCCAGUAAUCAGCACAAGUUAGAAUGUGGGCAACUCGGCAGUCGUUGCGCAGGCACUUUGGUGACUCUAGAUAACCUCGGGCCGAUUGCACAUCCCCGUGACGGCGACGACGCAUUCGGAUGUCUGCCCUAUCAACUUUCAAUGGUACUUUCUGUGCCUACCAUGGUGACCAUGGGUAACGGGGAAUCAGGGUUCGAUUCCGGAGAGGGAGCCUGAGAAACGGUUACCACAUCCAAGGAAGGCAGCAGGCGCACAAAUUACCGACUCCUGAUGCGGGGAGGUAGUGAC
rnacentral:rRNA from 1 species